rnacentral:RNase_P_RNA from 1 species
CGGAUAAUCGAGCAUAAUUAAUUAUGUUAGGAAAGUCCAUACUAGCACAGUCUGCGAUGAUUGUAGUGUUUGUGCUUAACGAACAAAUAAGUUAAGGGACGUAAGUCACGGCGAAUGAAGCCUAAGGUUUAACUAUGGUGUAGUUCAUAAAGUGCCACAGAGACGAAUCUUUUGGAAACAAAGGAGUGGAACGGGUAAACCCCACAAGCUAGCAACCCAAAUUUUGGUAGGGGCAUGGAUGCGGAAGAAAUGAAUUCCAAUUCUGCAUGAAAAUGAGACAAAUGAUUAUCCAUCCAUUUUAUGGAUGACAGAAUAUGGCUUAUAG